rnacentral:rRNA from 1 species
GAUGAACGCUGGCGGCGUGCCUAAUACAUGCAAGUCGAGCGAACAGAUAAGGAGCUUGCUCCUUUGACGUUAGCGGCGGACGGGUGAGUAAGACGUGGGUAACCUACCUAUAAGACUGGGAUAACUCCGGGAAACCGGGUCCAAUGCCGGAUAACAUUUAGAACCGCAUGAUUCUAAAGUGAAAGAGGGUUUUGCUAUCACUUAUAGAUGGAGCCGCGCCGUAUUAGCUAGUUGGUAAGGUAACGGCUUACCAAGGCAACGAUACGUAGCCGACCUGAGAGGAUGAUCGGCCACACUGGAACUGAGACACGGUCCAGACUCCUACGGGAGGCAGCAGUAGGGAAUCUUGGGCAAUGGGCGAAAGCCUGACGGAGCAACGCCGCGUGAGUGAUGAAGGUCUUCGGAUCGUAAAACUCUGUUAUUAGGGAAGAACAACUGUGUAAGUAAAUGUGCACGUCUUGACGGUACCUAAUCAGAAAGCCACGGCUAACUACGUG